rnacentral:tRNA from 1 species
UGUUAAUGUAGCUUAAAUAAACAAAGCAAGGCACUGAAAAUGCCUAGAUGAGUACUGCCACUCCAUAAACA